rnacentral:rRNA from 1 species
GCGUUUAGAUAGCAUGCAUGUGUAGUUUAAGACCAAGUAGGAUGAAACUGCGGACGGCUCAUUAUAACAGUAAUAGUUUCUUUGGUUAGUCGGUACAAGGAUAACUUUGUGAAUGAUAAAGCUAAUACUUGAGACGAUCCGGGAAGUAUUUUACUUUCCGGGCCUCUGAUGCCAGUGUGGGGAAAAACGACCUUUUUCUGUGAAAAAGGAUGCCCCGACCAUUGGAGAAAGCCACCCUUUUGACCAGUAACCAAUGGGAAUUUCCGAAUCAUUCAUUUGGUGGUAAUAUUCAGGAAUACCCAGAAUAAAAAGGAAAACCAAGAAUUGGGGGUCGAACUUGGAAAAGGAGCUUUACCGAUGGGCACCAAUUUUAAAGAAGGGAGGAAGGGCCUAAAUUACCCAUUUCCACCCGAAGAGGUAGUGACGACAAUAAUCUUGGCGCCCUCGGGUGACUUGAGGAAUGAUUAAAAGCAAUUCUCUAAGAAUCAUUGGAGGCAGUCUGGUGCAGCAGCCGCGUAAUUCAGUCCC